CGCGGUACACAAAACCAGCAAAAUGGCUUCUUCAAUCUCUUACUCAGUGCUUAUCUUUUUCCUUCUGCUCUCACCUUCUUGCAUUCUUUCAGGUCCAAUUGUCGACUCUUUUAUCCAAUGUCUGACACUCAAUUCCAAAGUCUCAAUUCCUUUCUCAACUUCAUUGUACACACCAAACAAUUCCUCGUUCUCUGAAGUCUUACAAUCCACCGCUUGGAACCUCCGUUUCUUAUUACCCUCCGUUCUUAAACCAGAAUUCAUCUUCAUCCCGUCACACGAAACCCAUAUCCAAGCUGCCGUUAUCUGUUCGAAACAGUUGCCUAUCCAUCUUAGAGUCCGUAGUGGCGGCCAUGAUUUGGAAGGUUUAUCUUACAGAUCAGAAAUCGACAAUCCCUUUUUUAUUAUAGAUAUGUCAGCACUCCGUUCUGUUGACGUUAAUAUUGACGAUAACAGUGCAUGGGUUCAAACGGGCGCAACCCUUGGGGAAUUGUAUUACAGAAUUGCAGAAAAAAGCCAAACCCACGGCUUUCCGGCAGGACUUUACAACAGUGUAGGAGUCGGGGGUCAUAUUACUGGCGGCGGGUAUGGUGCAAUGCUGCGAAAGUACGGUCUUGCUGCCGAUAAUGUAAUUGAUGCUCAGAUUAUUGACGUUCAUGGCAGACUUCUUGAUCGUCAAGCUAUGGGCGAAGAUCUUUUCUGGGCAAUUAGAGGUGGCGCUGGGGGUAACUUUGGAAUUAUUGUUUCUUGGAAACUAAAGUUAGUCCAGAUUCCUUCUACUGUUAUCUUUUUUAAAGCUACAAAAACUUCAGAACAAAAUGGAACUAAAAUUCUUCAACGGUGGACUGAAGUCGCUCACAAGCUCGACGAGGAUCUUUUCAUUAGAGUUCUAAUCUCACCUGCUAAUAUUGGUAAUAGUACGGUACGAACCGUAUCAACUUCUUAUGAAGGUUUCUUUCUUGGCGAUUUAAACAGACUUCUCAAAGUUAUGGAAAAUAGUUUUCCUUCUCAAAGUUAUGGAAAAUAGUUUUCCUGAAUUGGGUUUAGCCAGAAAUGAUUGUACAGAGACGAGUUGGGUCAAAUCGGUUUUAUAUACAACCGGUUAUCCAACUAAUUCAAAGCCUGAAGUUUUACUGCAGGGUAAAUAUUUAUUCAAAACUUCCUAUAAAUCAAAAUCAGAUUUUGUUAAAGAACCCAUUGCUGAAGCGGCAUUGGAAGGUCUUUGGAAGAUACUCUUGGAAGAAGAAACACCACCAUUUAUGAUAUGGACUCCUUUUGGAGGGAAGAUGAAUGAGAUUUCAGAAUCUGAAAUUCCAUUUCCUAACAGAAACGGGACUUUGUUCAUGAUUCAUUAUGCUUCUAGUUGGCAAAAUGGACAAAAGAAUGAAGCAAAGCAUAUUGAUGGGGUAAGAAAGCUUUAUAAUUAUAUGGAGCAUUUCGUUCCUAAUAAUCCAAGAACUGCUUAUGCUAAUUACAGGGAUCUUGAUUUGGGUAUGAACAGCAAGAAUAAUUUUAACGUUACCCAAGCUAGCGUUUGGGGUAUUAAGUAUUAUAAAGAUAAUUUUAAUAGAUUGAUUCAAGUGAAGACUGAGGUUGAUCCUGAUAACUUUUUUAGGCAUGAGCAGAGUAUUCCACCUCUUCCUGUUUCUUAAACAAGAAAAAGAAAGCCAAGAGGUGGAUUUAAGGACCGAAUUAAGUGUUGUUUGGGUUUAAGUGAAAGAGGAAUAAUAAUUUGUAUACACAAAUUUAUAUAUGUUAUAUUAUGUUGAAAAGUUAAUUAAUU